GACGAACCUUGCAAACGUUAUUCGGAAUCACUGGGCUUAAAGGGUGCGUAGGCUGUGCGGAAAGUUGGGUGUGAAAUACCUCGGCUUAACCGAGGAAUUGCGCCCAAAACUACCGUGCUCGAGGAAGAUAGAGGUGAGCGGAACUUAGGGUGGAGCGGUGAAAUGCGUUGAUAUCCUAAGGAACACCGGUGGCGAAAGCGGCUCACUGGAUCUUUUCUGACGCUGAGGCACGAAAGCCAGGGUAG
rnacentral:rRNA from 1 species